UACGUAGGGGGCAAGCGUUGUCCGGAUUUAUUGGGCGUAAAGAGCGUGUAGGCGGCUUGGUAGGUCUCGCGUCAAAACCUGAGGCUCAACCUCAGUUCGCGUGGGAAACCACCUAGCUAGAGUCCGGAAGAGGAGAACGGAAUUCCCAGUGUAGCGGUGAAAUGCGCAGAUAUUGGGAAGAACACCAGUGGCGAAGGCGGUUCUCUGGGACGGUACUGACGCUGAGGCGCGAAAGCUGGGGGAGCAAACGGGG
rnacentral:rRNA from 1 species